GACAAUCUGUGAAAAAAUGGAUCUCCUCUGCCUUCUCCCAGUGCCUACUAGAAACAACCAAUCAGAGCCAGGAGGCGGGUCUGAGCACGGCCAAUCACAAGCUCCAGUGGGGUGACUCAUCCUCUCCCCUUUCAUCUCUGCGACGCCGCCGCUAACACGUAAUGUUUAGAAUGCUAAGGCUAGUUAGCACGUACGCAGAAGACGGCAAAUUAACGUUUUUCCUGUAACUCGGCUGUAACACUGACGGAGUUAAUUCACUGACUCCGCCCCGAGAAUCACAGACGGAUUCUGUCCGAGCGACCAGCUGUGGAGCAGAGAUCUCACUUUCCAUGGUACAAGACCCCUUUUCCAAGAAAGCUGCCUCAUCAUGUUGUUUUCCCGACACAGAACUAUCACGCUUUUCAACUAUUUCAGUGGAAGAUUCUGCAGUCAUGCAAAUAGAUGUUGCUUAGAAAUGUUCUUCUGGGGUCGUAUUCACAUCCUUACAUCCUUGUAUCUUCUCUGGUAGAUGCACAAUCUCCAGUGUUUCAAAGGUGGAUUCUUUUUUUGGUGGCCCAUGGAGUGGUUUCUGGAGAAAUCAUUUGACCUAUUGGGCCUAAGUCAUACACCCAAUUUCCAUAUGAUAUGAUUUUGUUGUCGUUGUCAUCCUCCCAUAUUCCUGGUGUCUUCUUGACACGGUUACUCUUAGAUGGUCCGUUUCUUCUCUCUCACUGUCUCCAGUGUUUCAGAGGUGGACUCUUUUUUUGGUCACCAGUGAAGCAUCUUGCUUUUGGGUAUUUUUGUCUGAAACCUUUUCAUCAAGGGGGCGUGCAACUCCAACCAGGCCUGAAGUGGUAUCAUCUUCUUCUGCUUACGCUUAAGUGGCUGUUUCUCUCUGAGUUCAUCCACGGUCUUCUGUGUUUCAGAGACAGAUUUGUUCUUAGUGACCACUGAUGGGUUUUCAGCAGAAAUUGUUUCACCUACUGGGGGUAGUUCAUCCACCCAGUUUCCAACAGAUAUAAUUUCCUUAUUGUUGUUGGUCACAGGUGGCCGUUUCUCCCCUUGCUCAUCCACUCUCUCUUGAGUUUGAGAGAUUGCUUCUUUUACAGGGACCACUGAAUCGUCUAGGUUUUCAGGAUUUUCCGGAAAACGAUGUUUGUUUUCCUCAAACCAAGUGCUGAACGGCACCUUCUUCUUGAGCCACCUGGCACUAGGCGGCUCAACUUCUCUUAUGCUAAUCUUGUUGGAUGUUUCCAUUUCAGUGAUUGGCUGGUUUGACUGUAUUCUUUCAGAUUUUGAGUUAAAUCAGUCUUCAAAGUUGAGAAACUUAUUUGGAACUGUGAAACGAAUUUGCAGGUGAAACGUAUCAUGAACGGCUGCUAGACGGUUGUGAUAAAAUUUGGUCGAUAUGAAAAGCUUAAAUACAACAAUUUAUGUCACAAAAUUCUGAGCCUUUUUAGGUCCCUGGUUCUGAUGCUGCUGGAUGAAGAGAUGACACUCUCAACGACAGACUUAUAGAAGAUUUGCAGCAUCUUGCUGCAAACCUUGAAGUAUCCGAGCUUCCUCAAGAAGUACAGUCUGCUCUGUCCCUGCUUAUGGACGGCUUCUCUGUUGCAUCUCCAGGAUCAGAUCCAGGGACCUAAAAAGGUUCAACAACUUGAUAAAGAAGCUGAUUCUGUUCUGGGGACGACUGUGAAACCGUGGAGGUGAUGAUGCAAAGGAUUCUUUAUAAAACCAAUAAAAUUAUGGACAACCCUGACCAUCCUGUUCAUGAGACUGACUAGGGAAAACGGUGUCUUCAGUCAGAGGCUUCUUCAGAUUCACUGUAAUACAGGCCUGUAGAGGAGAUCUUUCCUGCCAACAACCAUCGCAAUCCACAAUAACUCUUAAGAAUCUGAAUUAAUGAGUUACUACAUUUAAUUCCCCUUUGUGAUCAAUAAAGUAUUUUUGAAUUUGAAUUCUAUAUUUUUAAAUGGCUGGUUGAUAUCACAAAAUUUCAAAUUCCUUUAAACCUUGAAUUCUUAGAUAAGUUGAAAAGGAGGCAUCAUGAACGUACUGCAGGAGCACAGGGAAGGAAGAAAUUUAAACUAUUAGUUUUGUUAUACAUAAGCGGUAAAAUUAGAUUUUUAGUACACAAAUUGAAUGAAUUCCUGUUAUUCUGGGCUAAGAAAGGGCCCAGAAUAGCAGGAAUGCAGUAUUGUAUGCUAUGAAGCAUUGCUGCAAGUUCACAUCCCUAACUCCAACAUCAGGGAUAUUUCUUACCUGUGGUCCGGGCCGUUACUCAGUGGUCCCAAAUCUCCUUUUAAAUUAAAGUUUGCAUUUCAUUUAAAAAUCAAAGAGAAGAGAAGUGCAGAA